CCUACGGGUGGCUGCAGUGGGGAAUAUUGCACAAUGGGCGCAAGCCUGAUGCAGCAACGCCGCGUGAGCGAUGAAGGCCUUCGGGUCGUAAAGCUCUGUCCUAAGGGAAGAAUACUGACGGUACCUUAGGAGGAAGCCCCGGCUAACUACGUGCCAGCAGCCGCGGUAAUACGUAGGGGGCUAGCGUUAUCCGGAAUUACUGGGCGGAAAGGGUGCGUAGGCGGCCGAUUAAGCCAGGGGUGAAAGGCUACGGCUCAACCGUAGUAAGCCCUUGGAACUGAUUGGCUUGAGUGCAGGAGAGGAGAGUGGAAUUCCUAGUGUAGCGGUGAAAUGCGUAGAUAUUAGGAGAAACACCAGUGGCGAAGGCGACUCUCUGGACUGUAACUGACGCUGAGGCACGAAAGCGUGGGGAGCAAACAGGAUUAGAUACCCGAGUAGUC
rnacentral:rRNA from 1 species